UAAAUUUAUUCUACGUUUUGA
rnacentral:piRNA from 1 species